rnacentral:misc_RNA from 1 species
GUUAGCAAAAAUUAACUUUCAAGUAGUUUAUAUAAUAUCUUUAAUCAUAAUCUUAUGAGGAUGAUACUGAUAGGUAAGUUGGAAUAUUGGAUACCAAGUAAUAAAAAAUAAAGAAGGUCAAGUACAAGAUUAAUUAGAAUUAUUAAAAACAAAAAGAUUGAUGACAACUAAUGAAGUGAUUGUGCAGAUGCUUAAAAUCUGCAUGAGAGUAGUUGAGCAAUUUAAUUACGUUUCAAUUCACCAUAUAAUUGAUUUGAUACGUUGAUAAAAAUUUGUGUUCUUUUAUUGUUCUUUUUGUUGUGUGUGUUGCUG